GAUGAACGCUAGCGGCAGGCUUAAUACAUGCAAGUCGUGGGGCAGCAGGUUUGUAGCAAUACAGAUGCUGGCGACCGGCAAACGGGUGCGGAACACGUACAGAACCUUCCUUUGAGCGGGGAAUAGCCCAGAGAAAUUUGGAUUAAUACCCCAUAGUAUAAUGAAGUGGCAUCACUUUAUUAUUAAAGAUUUAUCACUCGAAGAUGGCUGUGCGGCUGAUUAGGUAGUUGGCGGGGUAACGGCCCACCAAGGCGACGAUCGGUAGGGGGUCUGAGAGGAUGAUCCCCCACACUGGUACUGAGACACGGACCAGACUCCUACGGGAGGCAGCAGUAAGGAAUAUUGGACAAUGGUCGCAAGACUGAUCCAGCCAUGCCGCGUGCAGGAUGAACGAUCUAUGAUCUGUAAACUGCUUUUGUUCGGGAAUAAACCCCUUCACGUGUGGAGGGCUGAAUGUACCGAAAG
rnacentral:rRNA from 1 species